rnacentral:misc_RNA from 1 species
AAGUCGUAACAAGGUUUCCGUAGGUGAACCUGCGGAAGGAUCAUUACAGAGAACAUGCCUCUUGGGGUAUAUCUCCCACCCUUUGUUUACAAUACCUCUGUUGCUUUGGUAGGCCCGUCACUUGACCACUGGCUUUAGCUAGUCUGUGCCUGCCAGAGGACCCUAAAUUCUGAUAUUAUGUUGUCUGAGUAUGAUGUAAUGAUUAAAACUUUCAACAACGGAUCUCUUGGUUCUG